rnacentral:ncRNA from 1 species
AUUUUAUUUAUUUGAACAUUAAUUAUAAGAUAUAACACUAAGAAGAAACAAUGACGGUAUCCGAGGAAUAAGCAUCGGCUAACUCUGUGCCAGCAGCCGCGGUAAGACAGAGGAUGC